UGGACGAGGUGGUGCAUGGUUGUCGUCAGCUCGUGUCGUGAGAUGUUGGUUAAGUCCCGCAACGAGCGCAACCCUCGACCUUAGUUGCCAGCAUUCAGUUGGGCACUCUAAGGUGACUGCCGGCUAAAAGUCGGAGGAAGGUGGGGAUGACGUCAAAUCAUCAUGCCCCUUACGACCUGGGCUACACACGUGCUACAAUGGGCGGUACAAAGGGUCGCGAACCCGCGAGGGGGAGCCAAUCCCAAAAAGCCGCUCUCAGUUCGGAUUGCAGGCUGCAACUCGCCUGCAUGAAGCCGGAAUCGCUAGUAAUCGCGGAUCAGCAUGCCGCGGUGAAUACGUUCCCGGGCCUU
rnacentral:rRNA from 1 species